GAGAGGUGGUGGCAUGGCCGUCGUCAGUUCGUACUGUGAAGCAUCCUGUUAAGUCAGGCAACGAGCGAGACCCACGCCCACAGUUGCCAGCGUACUCUCUGGAGUGACGGGUACACGUGUGGGGACCGCCGCUGCUAAAGCGGAGGAAGGAAUGGGCAACGGUAGGUCAGUAUGCCCCGAAUAUCCCGGGCUACACGCGAGCUACAAUGGUUGGUACAAUGGGUAUCUACCCCGAAAGGGGACGGGAAUCUCCUAAACCAAUCUUAGUUCGGAUUGAGGGCUGCAACUCGCCCUCAUGAAGCUGGAAUCCGUAGUAAUCGCGUUUCAACAGAACGCGGUGAAUACGUCCCUGCUCCUU
rnacentral:rRNA from 1 species